AUUUUUAAAACCUAAAAUAUGCUAAAAAUGCAUCAAGCAAAAAUAACAUAAAAAACAAGAUAAUACAAGAAAAAAUAUAUUAAAAAAAUAAAGAAGAUGGAGAUGAAGACGACGCCGAAGAAGAAAUCACAGGUUGUUUAGCAGCAUAAGGAUUCAGCAAAGGCCUUCAAGAUGCUACUCAUGUGGUUUGUUCUUGAAGUAACUUGGAACAUGGUGAAUAUCAAAAACAUGUGAAGCUUGAAGGCUUUGAGGAAUCAAGCAAAUGGAUGACUUUUGGGAAAAGCAGAAUAUGAAUCAGGUUAGGAUAGUCAAAACUUAGUUAGUUGAUUUUGGUCAAUUGGUUGACCAAAAAGUCAACAGUUGACAUAAAGACAACUUAGGUAAAAAUGUAAUUUUUUUGUAUGGUUUGAUUUGUAAGAACUUGUGAUGUAUGAAUUGUUUUUGAAAUGCAAAAUUCCCUUUUAAAUGCAAA